GGCAACCUGGCCGAGCGGUUAAGGCGCUACGUUCAGGUAUUCUCAUCAUGAAAAGCUUCGUAGUCUCGAAAGGGGCGUGUGUUCGAAUCACACGGUUGUCA